rnacentral:rRNA from 1 species
AUUGAACGCUGGCGGCAUGCUUUACACAUGCAAGUCGAACGGCAGCGCGGGCUUCGGCCUGGCGGCGAGUGGCGAACGGGUGAGUAAUGCAUCGGAACGUGCCCAGUAGUGGGGGAUAGCCCAGCGAAAGCCGGAUUAAUACCGCAUACGACUGAGGGUGAAAGCGGGGGACCGAAAGGCCUCGCGCUAUUGGAGCGGCCGAUGUCGGAUUAGCUAGUUGGUGGGGUAAAGGCUUACCAAGGCGACGAUCCGUAGCUGGUCUGAGAGGACGACCAGCCACACUGGGACUGAGACACGGCCCAGACUCCUACGGGAGGCAGCAGUGGGGAAUUUUGGACAAUGGGGGCAACCCUGAUCCAGCCAUGCCGCGUGCGGGAAGAAGGCCUUCGGGUUGUAAACCGCUUUUGUUCGGGAAGAAAUCCUCUGGGCUAAUACCCCGGGGGGAUGACGGUACCGGAAGAAUAAGCACCGGCUAACUACGUG